rnacentral:rRNA from 1 species
AUGACGGAGGUGGCGCUUCUCCGGGGCCCGACCAACCUCGCUUCCCCCGCAAGCCGCAGCCCCUCCUCCUCCCUGCGCUAUUUAGCCAAUGCCGACAGCGACGUGCUGCAGAGAGGUGGCAGCGGAGAGAGCCCUACAGGAUCCGCAGGACGGACUGAGCGAGAGGUACAAGGAUCGGAGGAAGAGGAGCGGUGGUCUUUCUUGGCGCUGCUGCUUGCGUUGCUGCGGAAGUCGUUUCUCGGUUGCAGGGAGGAGGGCCCCCAAGGCGAAGGUUGUGCGAUGGAGAUCGGGUGGCCGACGGAGGUGCAGCACGUGGCGCAUGUCACCUUUGAUAGGUUCCAUGGAUUCCUGGGGCUGCCCGUCGAGCUCGAACCCGAGGUGCCCCGCCGCGCUCCCAGUGCCAGUGCAAGUGUCUUUGGAGUUUCAACAGAAUCAAUGCAGUGUUCGUAUGAUUCCAGAGGAAACAGUGUUCCGACAAUUCUCUUGAUGAUGCAGAGACGUCUUUAUGAACAAGGUGGUCUUCGGGCAGAAGGUAUUUUUCGUAUAAAUCCAGAGAAUAGCCAGGAGGAGCUUGUGAGAGACCGGCUAAACAGCGGAAUCGUGCCGUAUGGUAUUGAUGUCCACUGUUUGUCAGGUCUAAUAAAAGCAUGGUUUAGAGAACUGCCGAGCGGGGUGCUGGACCCUAUUCCACCUGAACAGGUGAUGCAAUGCCAAUCUGAAGAGGAUUGUGCUCGGGUUGCCAAAUGCCUCCCACUAGCUGAAGCGGCCUUACUUGACUGGGCCGUUAAUUUGAUGGCUGACGUCGUCCAAGAAGAAAAGAUAAACAAGAUGAAUGCUCGAAACAUUGCUAUGGUUUUUGCACCAAAUAUGACUCAGAUGGCAGAUCCUUUGACUGCACUAAUGUAUGCAGUCCAAGUGAUGAAUUUUCUGAAGAUGCUAAUAGAGAAGACCCUGAAGGAUAGAGAGGAGUCCAAUCUGGAUGAUGUGUCUUUGCCCCAAAAGGACCCGUCUGAUGAAAACGGGCAUCAUAACCCUGGCUUGGCCGUUGAUUCUCAUCAUGCGGAAGGAUCAAGGCGUCCUUCUUUCUUCAGCGAGGAACCCCUUCUGAACAGCCCUGCACACAGCACCGAAGACAAGCCUAACGAGACCAAUCCUACCGGAGGAGACUCUGCACCUUCUGGCCAGACAUUCAUGAACACAGAGGGCUCUUGUCGAUGGUCCCAACCUCUGCCUGCUGCUUCAGCCACCACUGAUAUUUCCUUGGCUUCAACACGGAACUCACUGCAAGGCAAGGGGAGCCGUAGCCUGAAUAGUAGUAGGAGGACAAGGAAGGGCAAGGGGCAGUCCGGAGCACCCGCCGUCGCUCCUCCAACCGAGAAAAAAUCACGAGGUGCAAGCAUCGUGAGCCGGUUAAACUCCACGGUCGAACGGAUCGAAGCGUGGAGAUGA